rnacentral:rRNA from 1 species
CCUACGGGGGGCAGCAGUGAGGAAUAUUGGUCAAUGGCCGGAAGGCUGAACCAGCCAUGCCGCGUGAAGGUCAGUGCCCUAUGGGCGUUAAACUUCUUUUGUGCGGGAGCAAUAAUGGUCACGUGUGGCCAGACGAGAGUACCGUACGAAUAAGCAUCGGCUGACUCCGUGCCAGCAGCCGCGGUAAUACGGGGGAUGUAAGCGUUAUCCGGAUUUAUUGGGUUUAAAGGGUGCGUAGGCUGGGAGGUAAGUCAGCGGUGAAAUGCACCCGCUCAACGGGGUGAAGUGCCAUUGAUACUGCCUGGCUGGAAUGCGGAUGCGGUGGGAGGAAUGUGUGGUGUAGCGGUGAAAUGCAUAGAUAUCACACAGAACACCGAUUGCGAAGGCAUCUCACGAAUCCGCGAUUGACGCUGAUGCACGAAAGCGUGGGUAUCAAACAGGAUUAGAUACCCGUGUAGUC